GUUUGUGACAAUGGGCAGCAGAGCAGUGUAGCAAUGUAGGUGUGCCAUGGCACGAGCGAGUGUCCUCGUAGGAAUGGGUCUGAAACAUUUGUUAACAGAGCAAGUGAAAGUGUAAUGUCAGUGUUUGCAAUGAAGCAUCGAUCCAGUUGUCGCAGUCGGUAACUGCAUGUGUCAAGUAUAGUAUGAUAUGCACCCAACAGGGGACCUGACUUGCACACAAUUUUUAGAGUUUUGCUAUAGUGCACAUUCUUUGCAACAGCAAUUUAGAUCCUGCUGCACCAAGGACCGCACGGUGUGUCGUGCCCGUCUGUCACUCGAGGUCGGCACCCAGCUCCAUCCUGUACCCCUUGCCUGCUGAACCGUCCCAGCGCCAGGCUUGGAUUGACUUUGUGCGUGGGUGCCCCUGUGGUGGUGCCUGUGACUGGAACCCACCGUCCAAUGAGAUCAGCUUGGUGUGCUCACUGCACUUCAGUGUUCGCUGCUUCCGGUUCCAGAGACCACGUGGCUACAGUGUGGGCUAUAGCAAGCGUCUAAGAAGGGAUGCAGUGCCAACGCUGUACCCAAUUGAAGAGCAGUGCAGUUCAGUGCCCAAUGAGAGUUUUCCUGAUGACACUGCAGAACGUUUGGCUUCCUCUGGUGUCGAAGAUGCAGAAGGCAGGGCACGCAAUUCAUUGGCUUCCAGCCGGUCAGUUCCAGAGCCCACAAAUCUAGAUGCAGUUCAAGAAUUACUGAAACAAAAUUGAACAUUCACCACGCCAGCGUAGUACCUUUGGGAUUGGCCCAGGCCCUAGUGGAACAGGUUGUAGCAUUUCUUC